AUUUAUAUACUGAUAAUCAGUAUACCUAGGUAUUGUGAUAAUCAGUAAACUUAUUGUGAUUAUCAAAAUAUUACGUUUUCUUAGUAACACAAUACCAAGUAUUUUGAUUAUCAAAAAAAAUAUCCUUAGUAGCAAAAUACUUUUUUCUCAUCUAAGUCAAUGUCGAUAUCUUCAUUG